AGUGCUGUGCGGUCGAGUUAUCCUCCAGUAGUCGGAGAGCGCAACAUCUGGAUAAGAUGGUAAUUAUGUGAGAUGCCCUCUUGAAGUUCUUCAUAACACGUUUCUUCUUCCAACGAGUUGGCAGAGAGUACUUUCUUCAAAGAGAAAUUUCAAACAACUUGGCAGAUCACUAAUAUUUUUU